rnacentral:rRNA from 1 species
UACGAAGGGGGCUAGCGUUGCUCGGAAUCACUGGGCGUAAAGCGCACGUAGGCGGAUCUUUAAGUCAGGGGUGAAAUCCUGGAGCUCAACUCCAGAACUGCCUUUGAUACUGGGGAUCCCGAGUCCGGAAGAGGUGAGUGGAACUCCGAGUGUAGAGGUGAAAUUCGUAGAUAUUGGGAAGAACACCAGUGGCGAAGGCGGCUAACUGGUCCAGAUCUGACGCUGAGGUGCGAAAGCGUGGGGAGCAAACAGG